GAGUGGAAAUCACUCCAAAGAGAGCUGAAGCCAGGGAAGGACCAUAUGGUGGCAGGGAUGCCUUCCCCGUGCAGUUUGUUGGAGACGCUUCUCCUCUGUGGAGCAAAUCUGCCAUUUCUGGGAAACAACUCAAAAGAUCAGGAAGUUACCAGAAUCCUUCUGAAGGAACUCAUUCCGAGGCAUCAUUUUCUCGCAAUUAUGAUGGGGAGAAGACACGACGUCCCUCUGAGAACGCGGAGCAGCACGCCGCUGGAGCAAGGCAGAGUCCCUCUCUGAGGACCACACUCGAGCAGAGCUGAUUUUUCUGAG